UGCUGUGCAGCCUCCAAACCCCUUCUUCACUAUCUUUGCUGCGCAGCCAUAUCCUAAGCACACCCACCCGAUUCCUAAAUCAAAAGAAAAAGAAUGAAAAUGGAAAGAAAAGGGGGACCGAGCCAGAAGAACGAAGCAGAGAGGGAAAGGGGGGACUGAGUCGCGGCGGAGGAGAGGAGGAGGGAGCUCGCCGUCGCGCCGCCACGUCGCCACCGCCGAAGCUUCCUGUGACGCCUGUCAAACCAUCACCGCCACUGUGCCAUGGAGAAGAGAGAGUGACGCGAAGGAGGGAGAUGAGGCCCCAUUGCCGUCGCGCUCUGCCGCACGCGAGGAGCGCGGCCGUUGAAGCCGUGCCUUUCAUCUCUGCCCAGUCGCGACUCUGCCAUCCUGAGCCACCGUGGGUCCAUUGUCGCCGAGCUCAACGGAGGAAGGGAGAACGACAUUGGGUUUGAGAGAGAGACAGAGGUGGUCUGGCACAAGGGAGGGGGCGAGCCAUCCGCGUUGCUGUUCGCGCCACUGCUACUGAGCUGCCACAGCCGUUCCGCCGUCACCGUCAAAGGGGUUCUGCCAGGAGAGAGGAGACCGGCGUGCGUGAAGAAGGAGAGAGGUCCGAGGCUGAGAUGGUUCCCGUCACUUCCGUCUGCCUCUGUCACUAACGACCUGCUGUUCCGCGGUGCUUGGCUGGCGCUUCUAAUACUGUCGCCGGAGUUCUGAGGCCACCGGAACCACUGCCGGAGCUUCUGGCUACUUCUGUCGUCGCCGGAAAAUCCUGCCGUCGUCGUGAGUGGAAUUCGUCACCGCUGCCGCUUGAGGUGGCUGCCGGGCUACCGCCGAGCCAGUUUGGAGAUUGCCGCUGUGUCGGUUCAGCCGUUCCUCCUUCGGUUCGAGUUGUUGAGAUUGUGGAGGAAGCAAGUGGAGCCGAGUUGUUGGUUGCCGUCAUUUCGGAUUGAGGCGGAAAGGACUCUGUGAGACGUUUGGAUUAUAGAUUUGCGUUUUGAGGAUAUGGGCGCUGAAAUCUCGAAGAGUUUAUUUAGUUGUUGUUAAAAUGCUCUGUAUUGCUUUAGAUUAUUUAUUGUACCAUCGCCUUUAUCUUAUGUAUUCUGUAAGAGAGAUAGGAAUUGUAUUAGGUAAUGCUUGUAAUAUAUAUAUAUAUAUAUAUGUGGAUGUACUCUUUAUGAGUUUUGUAAGUUGCAUGGUAUUUAUGGAUGUACGUUAUCGAAUAAAGUAUCUUGGGAGCAAUAUUGCGGUAAAAAGUUUUAAACAGGCUCAUAUUUUUAGUAUUAAAUAGUAUAAGUGUCGCCGUAAUGUCCAAACUAUCAGAGUCACGCAGUCGGAAGCGUGAGCUUUGGUAGUUAGGGUGUCACAGCGAAGGCUCAAUAUUAAAUAAACAUAGUAUAUAAUUAAAGAAAUAGAAGUAAGUAGUGCUCGGACUUUUAGUACGAUUAUAAAAUGCUAAAAAUUAGG